UAGGGAAUCUUCCGCAAUGGGCGAAAGCCUGACGGAGCAACGCGGCGUGAGUGAUGAAGGUCUUCGGAUCGUAAAACUCUGUUAUUAGGGAAGAACAAAUGUGUAAGUAACUAUGCACGUCUUGACGGUACCUAAUCAGAAAGCCACGGCUAACUACGUGCCAGCAGCCGCGGUAAUACGUAGGUGGCAAGCGUUAUCCGGAAUUAUUGGGCGUAAAGCGCGCGUAGGCGGUUUUUUAAGUCUGAUGUGAAAGCCCACGGCUCAACCGUGGAGGGUCAUUGGAAACUGGAAAACUUGAGUGCAGAAGAGGAAAGUGGAAUUCCAUGUGUAGCGGUGAAAUGCGCAGAGAUAUGGAGGAACACCAGUGGCGAAGGCGACUUUCUGGUCUGUAACUGACGCUGAUGUGCGAAAGCGUGGGGAUCAAACAGG
rnacentral:rRNA from 1 species